GACGAACGCUGGCGGCGUGCUUAAUACAUGCAAGUCGAGCGAACGGACGAGACGCUUGCUUCUCUGAUGUUAGCGGCGGACGGGUGAGUAACACGUGGAUAACCUACCUAUAAGACUGGUAUAACUUCGGGACACCGUAGCUUAUCCCGGAUAAUAUUUUGAACCGCAUGGUUCAAAAGUGAAAGUCGGUCGUGCGGUCUCUUCUAGAUGGAUCCGCGCUGCAUUAGCUAGUUGGUAAGGUAACGGCUUACCAAGGCAAGGAUGCAUAGCCGACCUGCGAGGGUGAUCGGCGACACUGGAGGUGAGACACGGUCCUGACUCCUGCGGGAGGCAGCAGUAGCGAAUCUGCCGCAGUGGGCGAAAGCCUGACGGAGCAACGCCGCGUGAGUGAUGAAGGUCUUCGGAUCGUAAAACUCUGUUAUUAGGGAAGAACAUAUGUGUAAGUAACUGUGCACAGCUUGACGGUACCUAAUCAGAAAGCCACGGCUAACUACGUG
rnacentral:rRNA from 1 species